ensembl:lncRNA
GGGUGAGGACAGACGGAGAGGCUUCAUCCUCAGCCUCCAGGAGGACCUCAGGGGGCUGUUGGAGAAUGAGGAGCAGGGGCUGGAGGAGCAGAGGGGGCUGUUGGAACAGCUGCAGGAUGCGCAGCAGAAUGGCCACUUCCUGUCGUGUAAGGUGGAGGAAAUGAGGACGGUGGUCCACAGGCUCAAGCUGAAUGAGAGCUCCAUGAUGGAGGAGGUGGAGGAACUGCAAGAGGAGAACCAGAGACUGUAAGAGGCUCAGCCACACCCUGAGACAGAUCAACCACAGCCCGGACUCUACUGACCCCCGUCUCUACCCCCAGCCCUAGCUCUGGUGCCAGCCCAGGGACUCCAGCCCCAGCCUGGCUACCGCCCUGCCAAACACCCCUGCCAUGGCUCAACCAGUCCCCUGCCACAUGGACAACACUGACCCGGUGAGUGAUGACAUUGAAGCUAAUGUGGAGUUGACUCUUAAUCAGUAGUAGAUCUUAAGUCUAAAUUGUUGAAGAGUUCGGCCUCAAGAAUGUAAAUGAGUACAAUUACAAGCAAAUUGUACAAUGGAUUAUAAUGUGGGAUUGUCAUGGGUUUAGCUGCACAGUGGAAUGUUGAUCUGAUUAACUACAGAGGAACUAAAGAGUGUGGCUGGCUUGUGUGUUUGAGACUGGGAGCCUAGGGGACUGGUGUCUUGGUCCUAGGGGCUUCCCCUCUCUCAACCUGAGAGAGGAGACUGAAGCACUGAGAGAGGCUUACUGGAGCAUGGGGGCGACGUGGACUCACUCCGGGACCACAGCUGGAGAGCACGCUCUGACACACACAGGACCAGCUGCACAGGGUGACCGAGGAGAACGCCCGUCUGAAAUGUAAACUCAGGGAGAAAUGGGGGGCCUGUGAGGCGGAGUGGGGGUGCUAGCUAGGAGGGAAAAGCAUGACAGGAAAUGCCCAGGAAAACAGGGUGCCAAUUCAUAACCUAAUUCCCCAGGUUAGCAGAAAGCUUACCACAACUCCAACCCAGAAUAAUACUACCCUAGUCUUAGCCGAUAAUGACCUAACCCUGUAUGCCUUAGCCCUGGAUGACCUAGCUCUAGCUUUGAACCAGGAGAACCAAGGCAUAGGGCAGGCGUAUCAAGGAGCUCCUGCACCACAUAGAGAGCCGGGAUAGUAAGGUUAGUGAGAGGAAGCUAGAGAGGGAGAGCUGGAGCAGGAGAACCAGGAGCAGGGAGGUCUUAUAACCGAGCUAACCAGGAAGACCAAGGAGGACCUCAACACUAUCAUGGAGCUGCAGCAGAGACUGACUGAGAGCGGUCAGCUUGGUCUACAACAGGGUGACCAUGGUUUGACCACUGAGUCAGAGUGUGGUCAAAAGGGUGAGCAUGCGGUCGGGUCAGUGUUCGCUCAACAGGGUCAACCCCCGGUAGGGUUCGUGACCAGUCUACAAGGUGAUCACACGCCAGGGUCGGUGAAUAGUGGUGAACUACAGGUUGACCACACGACCGAGUCAGUUAGGGAUCAAAAGGACAGCCAUUUGACCACAGAGUUAGUAUCCAUGCUGAGAGAGGAGAGGGGCGAGCUAAUUGGGUCUCAGUGAUCUCAAAGGGGAAAGGGAACAGGUUUCCCCUCUCACUCAGGUGUCAGACAGGGAAACACCAGCUAACGCGCUCCGUGUGGGUCCUGGAAGAAGAACGCGACCGGGUCAAUCAGGAACUCUGCGGUUUAAAAGAAGAGCAAGUACAGUUUACCAGGUCUGAAAGAUAAGAGACAAGGUGGUAUGGUCAAUGUGUGGUUUAAAAGAGGAGAGUGACCAGCUAGUUCCGUCAAGGUCUGGACUCCAGGAGGAGAGAGACCAGCUAGUUCAGUCAAUGUCUGUUUUCUACAAGGAGAGAGAACAGCUAGUUCAGUCCAAUGUCUGGUUUCCAGGAGGAGAGAGAUGAGCUCUCGCAGUCUCUCUUCAGUCAAGAAGAUGAGAGACCAACCUAACGAGUCACUCCACAAUCUAGAAGAGGAGCGAGACCAGUUGAUGCAAUCCAUGUGGGGUUUAAAGGGACAGAGAGACUAGCUAACACAGACACUCAGCCUUCUGGAGCAGAAGAGAGACAAACUGCCUUCAAACAGAAGACAGAGACCCGGUCAACCCGUUUAAAGAAGAGCGAGAGCAGUUGGUUCAGUUAAUGGUUGUUCUGUGCGAACAAAGAGAGCAUCUCACAACGGAGAGAGAGACCAGUUGCAGAUGGACGUUGCUCCUUUACGGAAUCAGCUACUGUCACAGGGGCGGAGUCACGACCAGCGGGUACUCUGAGAACCACGUUGGCGUGGCAACACACAUAGAGGGUGUGGCUACAGAGAGCGGGGUCACUGCGCCAAAAUACGGACGAUGACGUCGUUCAGAGAAGUCUGGCCACGGUCUACUCCUACAAGACCAUCCGCCUGGGGCAGUCUGCACAGGGAACACUUGGAAGAGGUGACAGUGGAACAGAGUGAACUGAUGGAGGAGAUCAAGUCGUUGGGGUCAGAACACAGAAGGUCACGAGACGAACUGGAGAAGAACCAAUCGGAGGAUCUCCCUUCCAAGACCAGACACCAGGUUUACUCCAGUCCCCCACCAGGUCAGGGAAACUAUCCAGGUUACCCCAAACCUUGCUGCCCUCAACCGACCCAAGCAUACCCCCAUAACAGCUACCCCUUCUACUACUACUACUACUGCCCCCGCUCGGACUGUUAAAGCACGAAGUACCACUACCUCGUUGAAAACUGCCCCUCCAACAAUUACCCUUAAAACUACAGCCCUCACUAAAGCUGCCCCCUCCACCUCUGCUCUGCCACCCACUGAGAGGACGUGACUGCCUGAUGAGGACCAUUGUGUCAAGAAGCUCCUCUCCAACUGCCAACCUGAACAAGCUAAAGCAACCAAACCCAGAGCUAAGCCGGAACCUCCAGCUGAGGUGGGCUCUGUUGAGGUCAUCAGGAUGGUGGGACAGAGCAGCCUCAUGAUUGGCUGGAUGAGCUGGGCUGCAGCAACGGAACCUUUAUGUAUGGAUACUGCCUCUCACCUGGGAUACAGUAGAAUUGGCUCCACCCAACCAGUGAGUUCUACAGACAUGCAUGUGUACUUAAUGUUUUGUACACUCAGUUUACCACCCUGGUGAGAGCAGAGGUCGGACUAGCUGGCCAAUCAGAGGCUAGAAGCAGUGCAUGCACAAGGGUGAGGAUGCAUGCCUAUCACCCGAUUGGCCAGGGCCGCAGCCUGGUGACCUCUCACAUGAGUGGGGAUAAAAGGUGAGAAUGGGUUAGAACGGGUGAGACCAAGCAACAGGUAAUCAAGUUGCAAUGUCUGUGACGUCUAGGAGGAGUAAUUCUGUACAGCAACCCUACCCUGACCCAACCAUUUCAUCUUUCAAUGUUUUACUGCAGAUUUUCAGCCGCACUGUCCAGUUGAAACCUUACUCACCAGAUUCAGAAGCUCAUCCUAAGCUUCUGUAUUAAUAUGUGUGUGUGUGUGUGUUUGUGUUUGCUUGCUUGUGACCUGUGUGUUCUCUCUGUGUAUGCAUAUGUGCAUGAUUGGCGUGCAGCUACAGUCCUCUGGUGGACAGCCCUAACCUCCACCCUAGGAGAGCUGGCCCAGAGAGGGGGAGAUACUGUCACGUUGCUAGGCAACCCCCGCAACGACGGCUUCUGUGAGGCCGAGGUGAAUGGCAGACUAGGUCUGGCUCCUGUUGCCUUCCUAGAGGAAGUUCUUGAUCCAGACAGACAUGUAAGCCCCGAAGCAACAGAUGAUAGACCACUGUGACGGCCAAUCAGAGAGAGCGCAAGAUGAUAGGUCACUGUGACUGCCAAUCAGAGAGAGGACAAGAUGAUGAGCCACUGUGACUGCCAAUCAAAUGAUGCUUCCCUACAGAGAGAUUAUAGUGGCCAACAUUCAUGACGUCAUCAAACGCUGCCUGCCUGUGACAAAAACAUUCAUAAGUGCUCACAGCCUAAAGUCGUUUGAAAUGGAAAGCUACACUAAAGCACUAGCUGAAAUGUGGGUGUGUUUGUGUGUAUGGCCCAGUUUGACAUUGUGCUUCUCCAAACGGAUGCUUUUAACCUACAUCCUGCUCAUUGAGAUCGUGUCAAAUCACCUCUGUUCUUCAAAAUCCCACGCUUUUCUGUGUCUAAUCUCUCGUGGACAGACACACUUAACUGGUAUCCUAGUGUCUGUCAGCAGACUGUGGGAUGCGACGACUAACGAGGAACUUUGUUUCCGGUGCACAGAUUUUUCGUCGCUGAUUAUUUUGGACAAAUCACGAUUUUUCCGCCUUCCUUUUUCGGGAAGAGGAGGGGACAGUUGGACCAUGGACUUGCCUGUAAAUUGCAACUGGAGAGGAGUUAACGGCCUGCGGCCCCUCCGCGUUCUAGUGUUUUUCUAACACAUCUGCCCGCAGAACGUAAUCAAGCAUCUGACACAAUUACACAAGAUUUUAGUUUUGGGUUUCCGAGAUUAUUCUGUAUGUGACAAGUGUCAAAAACGAAGGUGGGCCUGAAUGAUGUGACAACUUGUCUAACAAUCUGUCCGAAAGCCUCUCUAACAUGUUGGUGAUAUCAAGUGAUAAUUUUUUACGUGAUGAUAAAACGAAGUCGUUUUCACAAGGCCAUUUUACUUGAUCUUUAGGCAUCGAGCCAAAUAUGAAAACAAAGCUCCAUCCCAAAGACUUUGAUAUUUCUGUUCCUCGUCGUGACGUUUACAGAAAAUGUUUUUUUUUUUUUUGAUCCAAGUUAAAUCAUGAAGUCAAUUGUCUGAGCUGUUCUUCCACUGUAGAAUCGACUCAAUCUAUGAAGUCAUGCCAUUCAGAUGGAUGGAUGUUUGUGACUGAUAUAUUUUGUAGAGAUGAUUAAAUAACCUGAGGUAUGCAAAGGCUGAGUACUUUAUGUGUGGCUUUCAUCUCCUCAUUCUCUGUCUACAGGCCUAACUGACGUGUAGCUUUUACAUUCUGACCUGAUUCUCCAAAGGCUUCUCAAAUGAAACGGAGAAAAUACACACAUUCUGUUUACUGCAUACUUGUCUUUAACUGAUUAUGAUGUACGGUUGGGGGAAUGGCCAUGCUGCCACAAAUAUAUUUUAUAUAUCAUUCUGUGUUAGAUGUAAUUUGAUUUCCUAAUGAUUCCUUAGGCUGUAUAAAGAGCAUAAAUGUUGAUAGGACACAUCACAUACAAUGGUAUGUAAUUGUGUCUCGAGGAUUACACUCAUAUGCAACCUUGGUUUUACCACUAGGUGGCAGUCAUCGCAACGCCUGUCAGCCUGUUACUCUCAAUAGACAAAUACAUCCCAC